UACGGGACAAAGCAGGGGACCUUCGGGCCUUGCGCCAUUAGAUGAGCCUAGGUCGGAUUAGCUAGUUGGUGAGGUAAUGGCUCACCAAGGCUACGAUCCGUAACUGGUCUGAGAGGAUGAUCAGUCACACUGGAACUGAGACACGGUCCAGACUCCUACGGGAGGCAGCAGUGGGGAAUAUUGGACAAUGGGCGAAAGCCUGAUCCAGCCAUGCCGCGUGUGUGAAGAAGGUCUUCGGAUUGUAAAGCACUUUAAGUUGGGAGGAAGGGUAGUAGCUUAAUACGAUGCUACUUUGACGUU
rnacentral:rRNA from 1 species